rnacentral:lncRNA from 1 species
CCGCACUUCAUUUUUUAUGUGCUUCAUUGACGAAAAUGCUCUCUCCACAGUUGCCGUAGCAACAGGUAAAAUCAAAGUCAACUUUACAAGUAAAUAAACAAGUGAAUAAGUCUCCGCGAGAUUUGCUUCAACCAAUGCCUUCGCCAAAUCAUGAAUUCCUUGCAAGUUGGAGAACUUGGGAUUACCACUUCGCAUAUGAAUAAUGAAAGUAUCGAGUUGAUAGCUCAAAUCUCUAAUUUUUCCAUCAUCAAACUCACUUGGAUAACACUUUGCUAAAGUCAUGAUUUUACCUUUGUCAAAAUUAGAGAAAGAAUUGACCGGAUUCAAGCUACCCAUCCCAAGAAGCAAAUCACUACUCAC